rnacentral:rRNA from 1 species
UCCAGAGGUGGCAAGCGUUGUUCGGAAUUACUGGGCGUAAAGGGCGCGUAGGCGGCUUGGUCAGUCCCGUGUGAAAUCCCUCGGCUCAACUGAGGAACUGCACGGGAAACUGCCUGGCUUGAGUUCGGGAGAGGGAAGCGGAAUUCCGGGUGUAGCGGUGAAAUGCGUAGAUAUCCGGAGGAACACCGGUGGCGAAGGCGGCUUCCUGGACCGACACUGACGCUGAGGCGCGAAAGCUAGGGGAGCAAACGGG